rnacentral:lncRNA from 1 species
GGCAGAAGCCCAUCAAGCUGUUGGAAGCUAGUGCUGAGCCCUUGUGCUCAAAUAACAUCGUUCCUUGUUUCCUUCCAGGAUUCCAUCUUGGCCUGGCAGGAGAAGUUCUUCCAGGACCUCUUUGAGUGGCCUCCUAGGUCACAUUCAAGUUUGAGAAGGUCAUGAAGAAGCUGGAGGAGGAGCCCCAUGUCGUGAGGCAGCCCCAGAAGCUCCCUGAAGCAGUGGGCAAAGAUGGCGAUUUAUUGACAGAUGGAGGUUGAGUUUGCAAACUGAAUUUUGGGGCAAUCAAUCAAAAUUUGUAGAUCAGUUAAUUCUUGGCCCAACUACAAAUCCACUUCAGACCCCCCCUAGCCCCUCACAAUCUAGGCAUAAUUCCUGCAACAUCACAUCUCCAGGGAGUUUGGUAUUCAUAUAACACCUGGCAUUCCUACAAUUCUCCAGGGACUCUGGCACCAGUGAUUUAUUAAUUUAUUAUGAAUUUAUUAAUUAAUAUACCACUUAUAGGCCAAAAUGAUGCAGAAGAAACAAGACUUUCCUGCCUCUAGCCCCAGACUUGGUAGCCUUCCAGCCACUGGCCACCUUAUAGAUAAAUGGGCAGAUAGGAGGGAGUAGUUUUGACUCAAAUUGCAACCCAGUCCAGAGGAAAACUCCAAUGACCAUCUUGGUUGCCUCAGACAAAAGACGAGCAAUUCAAGCCAUCAAAGUCUGCAUAUGCUGGUGACAUCACAACAGCAGACAAAUGUGCCAAAUGAGUCUGAAAGCUCUGGAGAGUUUCACGAUGUGCCUCAGCACAGGGUUUACCUUGCCUUUAAUCCAUCGCCGAAAGACAAGUGUGAAUAGAAAUGGCGCACCUGAGGGAAAAAAUGAAGAUGUUGGAAGGGCAUUCACGGAAACUGUCACUGAUCUGUCGGAACCCCACACUUUUGCAGAAAGAUCUCUGCCAGGAAACUCCCACAGCUCCCAUAGAGAGGAAUGCUGAAGUGAAUUGAUGUAGAUCCCGCUGCCCUCAGGCAGACACCAUGGUGUCUUGACAAUUAAUUUCAGAUUACUAGUUACUAUACUGGGAGUAACAUUAGCAUAUUAGCGCCUGCAGGUUUGCAGUUUGGUACCCUACUGCAGGAAAUGUGAAUUUAGUCUAUUGAUUUUUGUUAGCACUGCCAUGUUGUUAUUACUGGAUUAUUGCCC